GAGAAAUGCAGGUGGCCCAGACCAGGGCUUCCAGCCGCAGGAGAAGGGUAAGGUCUCAGGGGGGUAACCCCUGUGGGGACUGGUCCCCAUGGGCACAUGCUGGGCCACAGGCAGCAGACAUUUGGCCUGGGUGCUCCAUGGCCAACGUCGGAUCCCCCUAACCUCGGGUUCCUCUUCUGUCACGUAGGGUAAGAGAGCUCAUGCAUCCGGAGCCAAAGCAGCUGUGCUCUGUGCAGGGGCCUGGGGGCCCCUGGCUGCUUCUAUCCCCACUUUCCUUCUGGGCCUCCAUUCUGGAAGUUACUCUGUGAGCACAGGUCACUCUCAUCACCACCCCCUUCUUCAGCAUCCCAGAGCUGACCCGCACUGCCUUCCAGACCACUCUGUGGUCUAAAAGCCAUUGGGGCACUGCCCGGGAUUAAAAGGAGGCCUGGAGGUAGACAGGCCUGGGUCUGAGUCUGGUUCUAGUGGUUCCUGCUGUGUGACCCCAGGCAAGAUACACCACCUCUCUGACUCUCAGUUUGCUCCUUUGGCAAACAUGUUGGCCUCACAGCAUGUGGAGUUUGCUAUAAAGUGCUUGCCAGACACCUGAGACAGAGUGGGUGCUUGGGAAAUGAGAGCUGCUCUUACAAGUGCUCGUCUGAGGCUGACAAGCACUGAACCGCACACAGUCCUCUCUGCUGGCUCUGCAGGCCACCAUCCCUCGGCUCCCUGGUCCUCUCCUGGCCAAGGAUGGCUCCCCUAGGGCUCCAUGUCCACCACUCCUGGACUUCCCCUGAGGACUCCUCUUGCCUUCUGAUUCUGGGACUUACUUUGGGCCUUACUUCCCCAGGGAGAACUGGAUUCCUGACCUGAGGUGUCUCCGCUCCCCCAGGAGAUAAACAACGACCACUAGCAGGAGCACUGGGCAUUCUCCAUGCCUACCCAGGGCUCUAGGGAGACUAACUCUGGGAGUGCGUCUUCAGAAAGACCGGGAGGAACCCACGUGUGCCAGGUGUAUGGAGACCUCUCUGUGGUGCAAAUGGAAUCGCCAGCAGGGGAAGUGUGAGGCCCCGGAGAAGGGUGGCGGCACCACAGACUAAUACCUCCAGGUGCUGAAGAAAAGUGGGGCUGAACCGAAUGACAUGGAGAGCGGUUCUCCCAGAUAUGUCAUGGGAAUAAAGAAGUGGUACGUAUAGUGUGAAACCAUUUUUAGAAAACAAAAUGCACAAACAGCUUAGCUUGGUAUAUUGAAGUUUACCAAACUCUGAGCCUCAAAGGUAUAUGUGUGGGAGAUUCACUUUCUAAAAAUAUUCCUCCCCACAGCUCUGGUGGUCCCAAACAACCUGCCUCUGCCCUCAUCUCCUUGCACACAGGCCUCCCAUUGUUCCUUAAACACACUGGACAUAUUCCUGCCUCAGCGCCUUUGCACUGGCUGCUCUGUCUGCCUCAGAGUGCCCUGCCCAGCUGUCCCCAUGAACGGCAGCUUCUCAUCCUGGUUCAGUUCAAAUGUCACCUCCUCAGAGGGGCCUCUCACCCUUCUGGUGCUCCCUCAGCCCAGGAGUGAUUGAUCACGCAAUCCCGUGCUACUUCUUCACUGCAUUCACCUCAUGAUGGUUUGUUGUGUGUUCUCGCUUAUCUGUGAUCCCACUCCCUCUACCUCACCUGCAGCCUUGUGCAUUCCACAUCCAGUGUCAGGAUCAAGGCCUGCUGUAUUGUCGGCACUCAAAAGCAGUUGUUUAAUGUGUACCACACAGAGCCAACCUUCCUUCUUUCCAGCCCACCUCUCUAUCAUCCUCCUUCCAACCUUCUUUAUUCUCUACCUUCCUUUUACAAGUUUACAUGGCUUUCAGAAAACAGAACAAAGUAUAGAGAUACUUAAAAAGGGUAAGUCAAAGGAACUCAAGUAUUCCUUCCCUGCUCUGUUUGUGUUCAUUUGCUAAAAUCACCCUCCCAGCUCCGGGCACUCUAGGGGGGCAUUGCUAAUUCCACAGUGGAAGGCAGGCUUACCAGGAGAAAUAAUGCUAGAACCUUCUCCCCGACUCUUAACUCUGCAUCUAUCUCACCUACUGCAGGUCGCAUGGACUGACACUCAUGGGCUGCUGUGACAUGUCUAAAGGGAAAGUACAAUGAAGUUCAGUUUGGAGAGUCAAAUCAACCAUUUUUGCUCUUAUUUUCUUCUGGAAGAAUUUUCCAAUGUAUUUUCUAAAUCGCAUAUUCUAAGCAGUAAUUUAAAACGGCAUUAAUUCCACCUUAAAAAAACCAAACUGAACUGGU